GAUGAACGCUGGCGGCGUGCUUAACACAUGCCAGUCGAACGGAAAGGCCCAAGCUUGCUUGGGUACUCGAGUGGCGAACGGGUGAGUAACACGUGGGUGAUCUGCCCUGCACUUCGGGAUAAGCCUGGGAAACUGGGUCUAAUACCGGAUAGGACCACAUUUUGGAUGGUGUGGUGGAAAGUUUUUCGGUGUGGGAUGAGCUCGCGGCCUAUCAGCUUGUUGGUGGGGUAAUGGCCUACCAAGGCGUCGACGGGUAGCCGGCCUGAGAGGGUGUACGGCCACAGUGGGACUGAGAUACGGCCCAGACUCCUACGGGAGGCAGCAGUGGGGAAUAUUGCACAAUGGGCGCAAGCCUGAUGCAGCGACGCCGCGGGGGGGAGGACGGCCUUCGGGUUGUAAACUCCUUUCGCUAGGGACGAAGCGUUAUGUGACGGUACCUGGAGAAGAAGCACCGGCUAACUACGUG
rnacentral:rRNA from 1 species